GUCCGUUGAUCAACCAUACACAAGCAAAAUAUGUCUCAGAUUUUUUUUAUAUAUACCUCCACUAAGAAGAUAUAUUGGUUUAACGGCUUGGUUCCAAAUCUCAUUUCACAUUUCAUCUUUGGUAGAUAGAUAGUUUACAAUGGAGACCUAUACAUUCAUUUAGAAACACAUUAUCAAAAUACUGGGACAUGGUAUUGUAGAAAAUACUCAUUUUAAAAACAUAUAUCUAAUUGAAGCAAAAGAGGGUACCUAUUAAAUUUUCAUUUUUUCAUUUGUUUUAAAUAAUUCUCAUGAAAAAUUGUUCUGUGAAAUGACAUAAAAUCAUCGUUGUCCCCUUAGAACCCCUACCAAUGCAACAUAAAUACAAAAUUCCACUUGGA
rnacentral:lncRNA from 1 species